rnacentral:rRNA from 1 species
GAUGAACGCUGGCGGCGUGCCUAACACAUGCAAGUCGAGCGAUUCUCUUCGGAGAAGAGCGGCGGACGGGUGAGUAACGCGUGGGUAACCUGCCCUGUACACACGGAUAACAUACCGAAAGGUAUGCCAAUACGAGAUAAUAUGCUUUUAUCGCAUGGUAGAAGUAUCAAAGCUUUUGCGGUACAGGAUGGACCCGCGUCUGAUUAGCUAGUUGGUAAGGUAACGGCUUACCAAGGCGACGAUCAGUAGCCGACCUGAGAGGGUGAUCGGCCACAUUGGAACUGAGACACGGUCCAAACUCCUACGGGAGGCAGCAGUGGGGAAUAUUGCACAAUGGGCGAAAGCCUGAUGCAGCAACGCCGCGUGAGCGAUGAAGGCCU